ACUAAUAUUAUAAAUGCGAGAGUGUGUCUGUUGUGUUCGUUUGUCCUUCAAUCAUGCUGCAAAAGAGCAACAGAUUGACGUGAUAUUGU